rnacentral:misc_RNA from 1 species
GAAACGCGAUAGGUAAUGUGAAUUGCAGAAUUCCGUGAAUCAUCGAAUCUUUGAACGCACAUUGCGCCUUCUGGUAUUCCGGUAGGCAUAUCUGUUUGAGCGUCAGCAAAACCUCUCAGCAUUAAUUUGUUUUGGUAUUGGGUCAAGCAGCUGGCUAUGAGUCUCUGCCUACCUUAAAACUUACCGCACGACCGCAAGCUACUGCUAGGUUCAUGAAGUUGGUAGUUACAUAUUUCAUAAACUAGUAUUAGCGAGAACGGCGUUAAACCUGAUGUUGCCUUCGCAACUGAAGUUUGACCUCAAAUCAGAUAAGGAUACCCGCUGAACUUAA